rnacentral:rRNA from 1 species
CCUACGGGGGGCAGCAGUGGGGAAUAUUGGACAAUGGGCGAAAGCCUGAUCCAGCCAUGCCGCGUGUGUGAAGAAGGCCUUCGGGUUGUAAAGCACUUUCAGUGGGGAAGAAAGCCUUGGGGCUAAUACCCUCGAGGAAGGACAUCACCGACAGAAGAAGCACCGGCUAACUCCGUGCCAGCAGCCGCGGUAAUACGGAGGGUGCGAGCGUUAAUCGGAAUUACUGGGCGUAAAGCGCGCGUAGGCGGUCUGAUAAGCCGGUUGGGAAAGCCCCGGGCUCAACCUGGGAACGGCAUCCGGAACUGUCAGGCUAGAGUGCAGGAGAGGAAGGUAGAAUUCCCGGUGUAGCAGUGAAAUGCGUAGAGAUCGGGAGGAAUACCAGUGGCGAAGGCGGCCUUCUGGACUGACACUGACGCUGAGGUGCGAAAGCGUGGGUAGCAAACAGGAUUAGAUACCCGAGUAGUC